rnacentral:rRNA from 1 species
AACGAACGCUGGCGGCAUGCCUAACACAUGCAAGUCGAACGAGACCUUCGGGUCUAGUGGCGCACGGGUGCGUAACGCGUGGGAACCUGCCCUUAGGUUCGGAAUAACUCCCCGAAAGGGGUGCUAAUACCGGAUAAUGUCUUCGGACCAAAGAUUUAUCGCCUUUGGAUGGGCCCGCGUUGGAUUAGCUAGUUGGUAGGGUAAAAGCCUACCAAGGCGACGAUCCAUAGCUGGUCUGAGAGGAUGAUCAGCCACACUGGGACUGAGACACGGCCCAGACUCCUACGGGAGGCAGCAGUGGGGAAUAUUGGUCAAUGGGCGAAAGCCUGAUCCAGCAAUGCUGCGUGAGUGAUGAAGGCCUUAGGGUUGUAAAGCUCUUUUACCCGGGAUGAUAAUGACAGUACCGGGAGAAUAAGCUCCGGCUAACUCCGUG